rnacentral:rRNA from 1 species
UAUCUGGUUGAUCCUGCCAGUAUUAUAUGCUGAUGUUAAAGAUUAAGCCAUGCAUGUGUAAGUAUAAAGACCAAGUAGGAUGAAACUGCGGACGGCUCAUUAUAACAGUAAUAGUUUCUUUGGUUAGUAAAGUACAAGGAUAGCUUUGUGAAUGAUAAAGAUAAUACUUGAGACGAUCCGGUUUGUAUUAGUACAAGUCGGCCACUCUCUUCACGGGGAGUGCGAAUGCCAUUCUGAAUUGAAUAAGGAUGGUAUGACAGUUGUAGAGCACACAGUGUUUAACAAGUAACCAAUGAGAAUUUCUGAUCUAUCAAUUUGUUGGUAGUAUCGAGGACUACCACGAUUAUAACGGAUAACGAGGAAUUGGGGUUCGACAUCGGAGAGGGAGCUUUACAGAUGGCUACCACUUCUACGGAAGGCAGCAGGCGCGUAAAUUACCCACUUUCGACGUGAAGAGGUAGUGACGACAAAUAACUCUCGAGGUGGUUAACUCCACUUCUUGAAGGAAUGAGUAAGAAGUAAAUACUCUUACGAAAU